UGCAUCAUAUAUAAGACAGUUUUCUGCCUAAUUUGUGCACAAAGCUUCAUUUUAUUUAAAUACAACGCUCGUACAGAGAAAAAAAUGAAAGCUCUCACUUUGUAUACUAUAUUGUUGUGUAUUGGAAUUUUCACGGUUGGAAACCAAUGUAGGCGUCAAUGCAGCCACAACUCUAAAUUAUGUGGAAAAAGAACCAUGGGAAAAUGGAAUAACAUGAUGCUCGAGAAAAAUGUUGGAGAAAUGAAUGAAUACGACGAAGCUGGAAGGCAGAAUUUCGAAGAUCAGCCUUUUGAAAUCGGAUACUAUGAGUAGUUUUGUGCUAGCAGGUAGAACUUUACGAACAACUAAACUCUGUCAUUUUCUAUAGAAUUCUAGCAACUGAUUAUAUAAUUCAAAACAUCGUCAAUAAAUAAGUAAAAUUA